ACGGGAGGCAGCAGUGGGGAAUAUUGGGCAAUGGGCGAAAGCCUGACCCAGCGACGCCGCGUGAAGGAAGAAGAUCUUCGGAUUGUAAACUUUAGUCAACAGGGACGAAGAAAGUGACGGUACCUGUGGAGGAAGCCACGGCUAACUACGUGCCAGCAGCCGCGGUAAUACGUAUGGAGCAAGCGUUAUCCGGAUUUACUGGGUGUAAAGGGAGCGUAGACGGUAUGGUAAGUCUGAAGUGAAAUGCGGGGGCUCAACUCCUGAACUGCUUUGGAAACUGUCGAACUAGAGUGCAGGAGAGGUAAGUGGAAUUCCUAGUGUAGCGGUGAAAUGCGUAGAUAUUAGGAGGAACACCAGUGGCGAAGGCGGCUUACUGGACUGUAACUGACGUUGAGGCUCGAAAGCGUGGGGAGCAAACAGGAUUAGAUACCCUGGUA
rnacentral:rRNA from 1 species